rnacentral:tRNA from 1 species
ACGGGUAGCUCAGCUGGAUAGAGCGUUGGCCUCCGGAGCCAAAGGUCGUGGGUUCGAAUCCCGUCCCG